UGAUGAAAAUGUCGAGGAUUGGUGUACAUGUGGAAGAUGUCGUGUGCCUCCAUCUUUCAAUGAAGGUGAUUGUGUCUGUUGUCAGGAAAUUGCAGAGGUCAAGGCAGAGGCUGAUCGACAGGGUUCAAGUUGUCUGGUGGAUUCUGAGGAGUUUGAGCCGCCAUCCUAAAUGCGACAACAUUGUACAUCGGAUGGAUGGAGUACACAGAUAGGUGGCGCCGAGCAGCCAAAGCAUUUGGGGACAGGAACAAUGAAAAAUACAGGUAUGUGGCCUACAGGAAAGUCGUGAGAUGGUGUUGGGGCUGGCUCGGGAAGGACAUCAGGGUGCAACUGCCAGCAUGUGUCCAUGCCUCAAUAAUGGAAGCGUAUCCUGAUGGACGUGGUCAGUACAAAGGGACCAUCCUGCGUCGGUUGAGAUGAGGAUGUAACAUCAACUAUUGUCUUGCGAACUUUGAAUGACUGUCAUCUUCUAUGCGAUUGUCAGCCAUCUUCUGUACGUUAUUUGUGAUCAUCGGCUUUCAUCUUCAUAUUCAUCACAAAUACUAUUGUUUGAACUUCUCAUGAUGGUAUGGUUGCUAUGAACUUUGAUCUCGACAUUUGAUUCUAAUUUCCAAGAGCUGAUAUUCGAACUUUUGCAAAACUGUGAUCAAGCAACGAUUUCUUAUGAGGAAGAAUGUUGAAAUCUAUAUAAACAAGCAACAACAAAAAAAAAAA